UACAACUUGAAGAACUGGUGGUACGAUUUAGGAGACUAGUUUCCCAAAUUGUACCACUUGAAGACCUUUGCGGAAACUGAAAUAUAUCUCUUCUCAUUGAAGAAUAAAUUACUCUAUUGAUACAUCAUUCGAUAGACAAGGUUUCAAGCUACAAUUAAAAAAAAAAUCAGUCAAAAAGAGUGAAAAUUGGGCUCUCCAGGUCCUAAUAACCAAGAAGAGGUACGAUUUAGGCAACCUUACCCUACAAAUGCGAAAUGAUUUUACUAUAGAGGAAUGGAAAUGUUUGUAUGUACGUUCUUUUUCGCCACUACAGUCAGGGAAGGAGGGGGUGGACAGCAACAUUUUUUCGAAAUUCCACGAAAAAGGGAAUGAAUUGAAACUAUUUAAACAUACAUAGGAUCCAGUCAAAGUGAAACCAUGGAAAAAUAUCUUGGAUGCGACAGUUGAGAGGGGAGGCUGCAAGCAAUACGCCUUAUGGAGAAAACAGAUACAAGGUUCGGAAGAUUGCUUGUACAAUAACAUUUAUACGCCGAAGUUGCCAUCGGAAGGAGGGCCUUUAAAAGCGGUCAUGGUGAAUAUUCACCCAGGAGGACUUUUUCACGGCUCGCCAGAUCCGUCUUACUACGGAAAUCCGGACUACAUAAUGCAUAAAGACGUAGUAUACGUAUGUCUUGGAUAUCGAUUAUACAUUUUAGGAGCUUUAAACUUGCACAUGAAAAACUGUUCGGGUAAUCAAAGUUUAAAAGAUGUAAUACUUAGUCUACAGUGGGUCAAAGACAACAUCGGUGCAUUUGGAGGUGAUCCCAAUAAUAUAACCUUGAUGGGCGGCAGCAGUGGUGCUCCACUGGUGCAUGCUAUGCUAUUGUCACCUUUGGCC